rnacentral:rRNA from 1 species
GGAAUUUGAAAUGACUGAGCGGCGGACGGGUGAGUAACGCGGUGGGUAACCUGCCUCAUACAGGGGGAUAACAGUUAGAAAUGACUGCUAAUACCGCAUAAGCACACAGUACCGCAUGGUACAGUGUGAAAAACUCCGGUGGUAUGAGAUGGACCCGCGUCUGAUUAGCUGGUUGGCGGGGUAACGGCCCACCAAGGCGACGAUCAGUAGCCGACCUGAGAGGGUGACCGGCCACAUUGGGACUGAGACACGGCCCAAACUCCUACGGGAGGCAGCAGUGGGGAAUAUUGCACAAUGGGGGAAACCCUGAUGCAGCAACGCCGCGUGAGUGAAGAAGUAUUUCGGUAUGUAAAGCUCUAUCAGCAGGGAAGAAAGUGACGGUACCUGACUAAGAAGCCCCGGCUAACUACGUGCCAGCAGCCGCGGUAAUACGUAGGGGGCAAGCGUUAUCCGGAUUUACUGGGUGUAAAGGGAGCGUAGACGGCACAGCAAGUCUGAAGUGAAAUCCCCGGGCUCAACCCGGGAACUGCUUUGGAAACUGUUGGGCUGGAGUGCUGGAGAGGCAAGCGGAAUUCCUAGUGUAGCGGUGAAAUGCGUAGAUAUUAGGAGGAACGCCAGUGGCGAAGGCGGCUUGCUGGACAGUAACUGACGUUGAGGCUCGAAAGCGUGGGGAGCAAACAGGAUUAGAUACCCUGGUAGUCCACGCCGUAAACGAUGCAUACUAGGUGUCGGGGAGCAAAGCUUUCCGGUGCCGCCGCNAACGCAGUAAGUAUGCCACC